GCCUGUUUAGCAUAGUGGCUAAUGCGUUGCACUUGUAUCCAUUCGAUGAUUAUAUGCAAAGAUCACUGGUUCGAUUCCAGUAACAGGCA